GGAGGUGGAUGCGGGCCGGUGCCCGCCGCGGUCUUCAAAACCGUUAGAGCGCCAUAUACAUGGGGCUGGAUGGUUCGACUCCAUCCCUCCUCCGCCA
rnacentral:tRNA from 1 species